rnacentral:rRNA from 1 species
ACCCUCGCCUUUAGUUGCCAGCAUGUUUGGGUGGGCACUCUAAAGGAACUGCCGGUGACAAGCCGGAGGAAGGUGGGGAUGACGUCAAGUCCUCAUGGCCCUUAUGUCCUGGGCUACACACGUGCUACAAUGGCGGUGACAGUGGGACGCCAGGCAGCGAUGCCGAGCUGAUCUCCAAAAGCCGUCUCAGUUCGGAUUGCACUCUGCAACUCGGGUGCAUGAAGGUGGAAUCGCUAGUAAUCGUGGAUCAGCAUGCCACGGUGAAUACGUUCCCGGGCCUUGUACACACCGCCCGU